rnacentral:rRNA from 1 species
CCUACGGGGGGCAGCAGUGAGGAAUAUUGGUCAAUGGGCGGGAGCCUGAACCAGCCAAGUCGCGUGAGGGAAGACGGUCCUAUGGAUUGUAAACCUCUUUAGGCGGGGAGCAAUGCCGGGCACGCGUGCCCGGAGGGAGAGUACCCUCAGAAUAAGCAGCGGCUAAUUCCGUGCCAGCAGCCGCGGUAAUACGGGUGAUGCGAGCGGUAUCCGGUUGUAUUGGGUUUAAAGGGUGCGUAGGCGGAGUUUUAAGUCAGCGGUAAAAGUUCCGGGCUCAACCCGGGCCGGCGGUUGAAACUGGGGAUCUUGAGUGGGCGAGAAGUAUGCGGAAUGCGUGGUGUAGCGGUGAAAUGCAUAGAUAUCACGCAGAACUCCGAUUGCGAAGGCAGCAUACCGGCGCCCGACUGACGCUGAGGCACGAAAGCGUGGGGAUCGAACAGGAUUAGAUACCCCGGUAGUC